UACGAAGGGUGCAAGCGUUAUUCGGAAUUACUGGGCGUAAAGCGUGCGUAGGUGGCUCGUUAAGUCUGUCGUGAAAGCCGCGGGCUCAACCUGGGAACGGCGAUGGAUACUGGCGGGCUAGAGUGCGGUGAGAGGGAAGUGGAAUUCCCGGUGUAGUGGUGAAAUGCGUAGAUAUCGGGAGGAACACCAGUGGCGAAGGCGACUUCCUGGCCUGUUCUUGACGCUGAGGCGCGAAAGCUAGGGGAGCAAACAGG
rnacentral:rRNA from 1 species